CCCUAUUAUAUUUAAAUCAAUAAAGGUAGUAUAAAUUUUAUAAACCUAUAUAAUUUGGCGGCAUUCAAUCUAAUUAGAGGAAUAUGUCUAAUAAUCGAAAAUACACGAUAAUUUUCACUAUUUAUUAAAUUUUAUAUACCGCCACUUAAAUAUAUAUAUUCAUAUAAAUAAUAAAUUAAAAUAACAUUAUAAUAAAAUAGGUAAAGGUGUAGACUAUUAAAUAGAUAUGAUGUAUUACAUUAAAUUCUAUUUAAGGAAAUUUACAUAAAAAAUAAAUAGAAAAAGGAUUUAAUAGUAAUAAUAAAUUAAAUAUUAAUAAAAUAUGAAUAAGAAAAUUAAUGUGCACA
rnacentral:rRNA from 1 species